rnacentral:rRNA from 1 species
UACGUAGGGGGCAAGCGUUGUCCGGAAUUAUUGGGCGUAAAGAGCGCGUAGGCGGUCUGUUGCGUCCGCUGUGAAAACUCGGGGCUUAACCCCGAGCCUGCAGUGGAUACGGGCAGACUAGAGGUAGGUAGGGGAGAAUGGAAUUCCCGGUGUAGCGGUGAAAUGCGCAGAUAUCGGGAGGAACACCGGUGGCGAAGGCGGUUCUCUGGGCCUUACCUGACGCUGAGGAGCGAAAGCGUGGGGAGCGAACAGG